CCCGGCCCCGCGCCAGCUCGAGCGGCAGGUCCCGCGGCCUGACUGACGGACACCCCCGUCCGGCGAGCGCUCUAACAGAUAAACAGUUGAAGAACCAGACGUUAAAAUGAAUAGCCUAGAAGUUGACAUGCUUCGUUGCUGGAAGUGUAGAAAAUACAUAGCAAAUUCUGAUUGCCUCAUAAAAUGUAAUGGAAAACAACUAUUUGAAAAAUCACUUUAUUCAGAUACUUCUCAGUAUACUUGCAAUGUAUGGCACAUGAACUUGG
rnacentral:lncRNA from 1 species